rnacentral:rRNA from 1 species
UACGGAGGGUGCAAGCGUUAUCCGGAUUCACUGGGUUUAAAGGGUGCGUAGGUGGGUCUGUAAGUCCGUGGUGAAAUCUCCGAGCUUAACUUGGAAACUGCCAUGGAUACUAUAGGUCUUGAAUACUGUGGAGGUCAGCGGAAUAUGUCAUGUAGCGGUGAAAUGCUUAGAUAUGACAUAGAACACCAAUUGCGAAGGCAGCUUGCUACACAGUUAUUGACGCUGAGGCACGAAAGCGUGGGGAUCAAACAGG